UGGGGCUGUAGCUCAGUUGGAUAGAGCGAGCGCCUCCUAAGCGCUAGGCCGUGCGUUCGAGACGCACCAGUCCCGUC
rnacentral:tRNA from 2 species